rnacentral:piRNA from 1 species
UAGAUGUCUUUGCUGCCUUGGGCUGA